CGCGCCUUUGGGCCCUCACUGCUGAGGGGAGGCGCGAGGGAACCUUCCAGAAUCCCCGGAGUGACAGCGACUCGGGGCUUGUGACGCUUAUUGAAAGAACAAAAACAUAUCUGAAAAAUGAGGAACUCUGUUGACUGCUCCUAUUUUGGAAAUCUAGAAUGACCUCCCCAACAAGGAAACCAGCUGGUCCUGGACUUGUGAUUCUGAAAAACUCCAUCACUGAAUGUUUAAUGUGUAAUGCCUGGUAUCUACGGCCUGCUGUGAUGUUAAACAAGGAUGCAGACUCCUGCCCACAGCACGGAAACUGAAAAAGUGAUGGGAGAACUGAUCUCUUCCUUCCAGUCUGCUGGGGGAAAUACUGGGGGAAAAAAGAGAGCUGAUCCAUCUUCAUGGGCUUUUUAGGAAUUGCUCUCUGCUGAGAAUACCACUGGGAUGAGUUCACAUUAAACAUGUCUCAACAACCAGCACCACGUCAUUUCUUAUGGGCUAGAAAGUUGCCAUACAACGACAACUUAUAGGUGCAAUUGAAUUAAAAGCUACACUUACUCAUUAAAAAGAUGCUGAUAAGGCCAUUCAGUGUCUACUUGAAUUGUUGAAACCUGUAUGAGAGAAGAAUAUGAAAGUGGAGCUACAAGAAUUAUACAAGGUAGGAAAUGAACCAUUUUAAGUACAUAUGAAGAGUUCCAACUGAUAUUUUACAUGACGAGGAGCAGGUCCCAGUUGUAUACAUUCAUUAAUCUUGUCCCUUCCUUGAAAUGUAUAGCUUGCUGUUUCACUUUUCUAAAAAGCAACCAGAGCUAAAAUCAGUUACAGAGAUAAUUGAUAGAAAUGUAACAGUGGAAGUUCUGGGGCUUGGACAUUAAUGUUUUAUUAAGGCUUUGAGACAGUACUUGUGACAGAAUUAUGCAAGCAUAAGUGACAAACAAAAAUAGCAUGAAGAAAAGCAAGUCUUUAUGGUUAAAAGGUCCAAAGUCUAACUAGAACAAAGAUUUAUUUCCGCCCCCUUCCCAAAGAAAAGAAACUCCAUUUUCUUCUGGACUUUAUAUAUAAAUUUGAUAUCACACUCAAAAACUCUUUUGGCAAAAAAAAAACAACCUCUUGCUUUUUGGCAAACAAUGGAGGAAAAAACUUUCCUUCUCUCCAUAGCAUUCAUUAGUUUGCUAAUGACAUUUAACACAAAAUAAGGAUAUGCACUUCAUAACACCUGCAAAGGACACAAGUAGUAGGCUAAUAGGGGUGAGAGCUUGUGAGAUCUCUGCCUACUCCACAAACAAAUGUGACAUUUUCAGAUCCGUCAGCUGCAUUUAGUAACAGAGAUACAGAUUUCCUGUAAAUGCAAGCAGAGAGAGACUGACAAUUCAUCUACAUACAGAGUUGUGGUGAUUUGACUGAGAGCUUGACUGCACAUGGAAUUAUUCAAGAAUAAAAACAGCAUCCUUACUGAAUAACUGUCUCAUCCAGAUAUGUUUGUUCUAGAAUACAAACUAGAAUAAGGUAAUUAUGUAUGUAAUAAGCUCCUAUAUGUAGAAUCAUUUUGUAGGGCUGUGACAAUUAAGAUUCAGAUCCUGCCUCAGCCUGAAACAGUUUUCAAGUAAAGCAAUAUCUUAAAUUUGAAUUUUUGAAAAUUUCUUCAUUCAAAAUUCUGGGAAUUACUUCCAGGAUAUUUUUUUUCUUCUGUUGAAACUAAUUUGUCUUAGUUUGAUUGAGGAAAGGUUUUGAAUACAUGAAAUCACUGUAGUUUUCCUUUUCUUACAAAUGUCAUGUAAUCCAGAGUCUUACCUGAGCUCAAGCCUCUGAAAUCUGGAUUUAUGUAUGGCUUGAACUCAUGUCCUAUCAUUCUAGGGAUAUUCUGACUUGACAGUCUUCCAGUAUCAGUUCCACACUUCCCUAGAGUGAGGAUUUCUGGCCCUUCUGUUUACUUAUUCCCACACUCCUUCUCUGUAUAAGACAGCAAUACUCCAGCUGUCUGUGCAUCAGCAGUCUCUGGUCAGAUGUCUCUAUGAAGUGCAAGGAGGAUGGAGAAUCACACGUGAGUUCCAAUUGCCUUCUGGUGUGGAUAGAGCAGAAAGUGCCAUUUCAGGAGGGACAUCCACCACUGUGGUCUGCAGGAGUUUGUACAGGAAACUGCAAAAGAUGUGAUAAAAUAAAUUACUAGUCUUUAGCUUGAGAGAAUAAAAAAUUUCAGUAUUGAAUCCUGCAUAAUGAAGAGACUGAAGCAGGUCUAAAAUGUUUCUAUUUCCUAUCUUUGUUCAAAGGACUGUGAAUAUCCUACAUUGUUCUUCCUCACCUCUCAAUAAGCAUGAAAGUUGCAGUGAAAAGUCUUUAACAGCAUUGUGAGUUUUAGGACAUAAAUGGAAUGGUCCAAGGCAGAAUUAUGGAAUCUUGACCAAUUGAUGUAUACAUUAGAGGGUUUUCUGGAAUGUCACUCACAGAAUCAUUGUUUAUGGUUUAUCACAAUAUGAAAUACCUUAACUUCAUGAGGGAGGAAGACAUUCUUCUUCCUUGGCAACACACUUCUUAUAUCAUAACCCCUAGUCCACAAAGUUAAAGUGGGCCCAGAUGGCUGCACUGCAAAAUGUAGUUUCAGUAGUGGUAUCUUUAUGGCAUAAUCUAUGCUGUGUCAAAGUGGGUUAAAUUAAAUUUUAAAUUAAGAUGUUCCUCAGUGUCUUGCACCACUGGUCUUUCCCCUUUCACAAGGGAAAAAAAUGGAGAUAAUGUCAUUUGUCAUAUAUGUCAUAUAAACACAAUGUUUCUCCACUACUAAUUGUUAAUGCUUGAGAAUUUUUUUAAAGAGGAAAAAGUUAAAAUAUCUGAAGAUUUUGUGCAGGUCAAGCAUGGCUUGUUCUUGGAGUCGCCUCCUAUAACUAAUCUGCCGAGACGACAGCAGCAAUGGAAAAUCCUUUCAGUAUAGGUGCUGUCCAGCUACAGAAUUGCAAAAUCUUAGGUAUAGGGAUUAGCAUUAUUUUAGGAAUGAUGGAGGGAAGCCUGCAUCCAGGGCUUUGCUAAUCUGAAAGAGUAGUAACGGGUUUUUAGUCUGAUCCUCUUGUGCAACAGUCACAUCUGACAGUAUUUUGGGUUUAGGUGUCUUAAAUCUACAAUAAUUACUCGUCUGUCUGUGAGUGAGUAAACUGGCCUGAAACAGCUUUUGGACAAGUGAAUGAUCGCAGAUGAAGUAAAGAAAUAUUAAUUAUAUAAAAUUAUCAACUUUUGGCCUUGCAAGCUGCUUAGUAGUAGAAGGACUUUUUCUGUCUUUCCAAGGAUAAAAAUCUCCUUGUUCUUUCCUUGCUUUGUUGGGGCUUUUUAUGUUAGGUAGGUCUGAGACAAGCACCCAGAUUACUGUAGAGCAGAUGGGGAAAUAACAGGGACAUUUUUGACCUAUGGUAAGAAGUGCCUAAAGAUUUGUGGCGCAGAUUGAACCAGUACU
rnacentral:lncRNA from 1 species